rnacentral:rRNA from 1 species
GACGGAGGGGGCUAGCGUUGUUCGGAAUGACUGGGCGUAAAGGGCGCGUAGGCGGCAGAUCAAGUCAGGUGUGAAAGCCUUGGGCUCAACCCAAGAAUUGCGCUUGAUACUGGUCAGCUAGAGGAUGGAAGAGAAAAGCGGAAUUCCUAGUGUAGAGGUGAAAUUCGUAGAUAUUAGGAAGAACACCAGAGGCGAAGGCGGCUUUUUGGUCCAUAACUGACGCUGAGGCGCGAAAGCGUGGGGAGCAAACAGG